rnacentral:lncRNA from 1 species
AACUCUCCCUGCUGGGAACAAUUAGGUCAGGCUGCAGAGAAAAUGAAACAUUGUAAUUUAAAAUUGUAUAAUUCUUAAUAUUUUACGGAAUUGGGCACGAAUCAGGUGCCUCCUCCAGCAUGUGGCUGCCACGUGCCUGGAUUUUGAACAGGAAUGUUGCACCUUUGGAUGCAAGAAGACAGGUGGGCUCUGCUUCCUCCCUCCUGCUGGUUCUAGAUAGCACCCAGAAUUGAAUGUGGCACUCAAGGAAUGGUCUGAAAUGGUCUUCUCUCCCAUGAUUGCUUGCUGAAUACUCUACUUUUCGAUAGCCUCUAUAUGUUUCCGUUCUCUACAACAAUUCCACCAUCAUGAAGCUAUUUAUGAGUAAUAAU